CUCACCGCAAACUUCAAGCCCCUUGUACACGUCGUCCUACGAAACAGAAACAACGAUCCUUUCGUAACAAGAGAAAUCACAAUAACGUACUUUGUGAUUAACGAAUUUGUACAAUCUUUGAAUCUUGACACACGAAAACACACUGAGGUGGAUUUCGAAGAAAAUCGUGAAAUACGAACAACGCGAAGAAAGGACGCGACAGUCACGCGGUAUCAAAGGAAACGUCCUCGUUUCGAAGCGCGCGAACAACGCUCCAUGGUUCUUCGGUCUGUGGUACUGGAUCCUUACUCUACUCUCUCGAUACAAACCGCACGACAGAACGAACAAAACUGGCACGAGAGUCGGGCCACGAGAGAGACCGGGCCUCUCUGCUCUCGGAGAGGAAAGGUGGCCAAUUAGCCGUUACUCGGCGCACAUGCCUUACCAACUAUCCGGCGCAGCUGCAGCGCCGCUACACGCUUCUCGGGAAUCGCAUUCAUAAACGAUGCAGCAGUAACGUCGCACCGCCGCGCAUCGUUGAGCUUCCAGAAGAUUCACAUUUCGUUUUUUUUUCUUUUCUUCUAUUUUGUUUUAAUCUGUUUUUGUCUCUCGCUUCUUGGAUUUAAACGAACGUAAAUACUACAAAUAUAUAUAUAUAUAUAUAUAUAUAUAUAUAUAUGUAUUUCGUAUGCUUUGUUUGGCGCGCGAGUUUCGAACGUGUUGCUGGCAAAUAAAUGAGGAACAGUGUAAAAAUUCUUGGGAAGAACGGAAAAUUCCAGACCGAUCAAUAUCUCGAAUUUCACGAGCAGGAAUAAUAAACAUAUGUACGAUCUUAACCGUAAAGAUUCUUCUACCAAUUUCUCCUUCUCCCUCUUGUCACGAGACGAGAAAGAAAAAAAUCCAGCAAUGAGUUCCACUAAAUUACACAGAGAUGCGAUAAUGGUAACGGAGGUAACGAGAGAAACAACGAGAGAUGGCGGUAGAGAAGUAAAAACUGAAACGAUUUUAUCGAAACGUAUCCUGCGCGCGCAGGUUUCUUCCGCUUUCGCGACAAAGCGCAAGUGCGCGCGCCGCGGAAACCGGCGUAAUAAUUGGAGAACGAGAAGAUGUACGGCCGACCGAGUACCGCUAUUCCGGCUGACCGGAAUCACUGCUCUGGAACACCACGGUCUUCUCUCCCUCUCUUCUUUCUCCUCUUCAAUCUCGAAAACCUGCGCGUCAACGUGCUCGCAGGAGAACACGUGCUACUGACUAACACCUGUUCCAUGGCUCGAGCGCUUUUUCUUCCAGUGGAUUAUCAAUCCUUGAUCCUGACUCGAGAAUUAAGUAAUUAAUUUAUUGUUUUCUAAUGUUUUUUCGCGAUUUCCUUUCUUUCUCUCUCUUAUGCAAGGUAAGAAAAAUUUAACAAACUAACGUGCGUUUAAUAACCUUUGAGUAGUUGCCGAAUAUAAUCCUGAUAUUCUUGGAAUAUGAUUAAAUGUUAAAAAUAACAACAUUUUUGGAUUGUGAUGCCUAUAAACUGAGAACCAUUAAAUUAAUCUAAUCGUACACUUGAAAUAUUGAAAAUGUGUUUUAUGAGGUCGGUGAUAGAGAGCGGAAAUUCCGGAAUGGAAAUAAUUUCAAAGAUAAAACUUCCGUUUUAUAGCCGGUACGAAGGUUGACAGAAAUAGAAUGGUUCAUGCUUCGAUACUUUAUGACUCCUUUGUAAUUUGUAUAAAUUUGCAAUGUCAUGUAAUGACACAAGGGAUAACUUAAUUUUACACUCGAGUUUGAAAGCCUUUAUGUUAAGGUUUUUCCAUUAUUUUAACAAUUUAAAUAUUUAAUGAAACAAUGAAACACGUAUAUUUACUAUUUCUAUUAUAACAAUACAAUUUGGACAACUACUUACACAUUUAAGAAAUACACAAUAACCGAGCAUCAAACAAAUGAACGUUUUGCCAUUCCUUGCGCAUACUUUUCCUUAUCUGCAUGAUUUAUCGACAAAUUUAAUUUACCACCGGCACGUGACCAUUAUUCACCUCGUAACAAGCGGUACUCCACGACAUAAGGUAUACUGAAACGCAAAAUGGUCAGUUACGAAGAGGACAAUGGAAGCCUUACGAGGAACACCAUGAAGAAAGGAAGGGACAUCGUGAAGAUAUUUUGGCUGUAGUUUAUGUACAUUUCUCUCGAUUCCUUAAGGCAACAUGAGGUCAAUAAUUCCUCUGUUAUGAUACAUAUAUAUCUGAUGAACUCACCCUCUAUACACUAAGGUACUCAUCCAAUGGCAUGGAAAUGCUAAUUCAAUUGGAGAAACAUAUUUAUGAGAAAUUCAUUAUGCUGGCUUAUAUUUAAAUUUCCUAUUAUAUUAGUAGAUAUAAAGAGUAUUUGUAUAUAACUUUAUUUUUUAAUUAAACGUUUGAAUUGAAGUAUUACUAAAUGAUAAUUAAUUAGUAUACAAAUAUUACAAAAGAUUGAUUCUAGAGGUCAAAAUAAGCACAAAUAUUGAAAUUUAUUUAUUAAAUUAUAAGCAAAGAUAAAAUGAGAUAACUCUUCAUCACUGUCUUCAUUCUUGUCUCUAAUGCAAAUUUCUAUUGUUUAAUAAAUUUUAACUUACAUUUUUGUUUUGAUGUUCUAAGAAUAUUUUCUAAACAGUGAUGUAUAAUACUUCUUCAGAUUAAAUAGCUUUCUUGAUGUAUGAUCAAUAAUUAUCUUUGCUAAAAGAAUUUUUUAACAAACUGAAAAAAAGUAGAAGCAUUUUAAUUUGCAAUUUUGCAUAAAUAAUACGCGAGAUAUUUGAUACAUUUUAUUUACAACUGAAUAUGAUAACAAUUAAAGACUUCAAAAUCUAUUCAUAAAUGGUAAAUGAAUUUACAUUUAUUAAAAUCCAUUGUUCAGGUUUAUCAUAGGCAGACGAUAAAUAUGUAACAAGCGUGACACAAAUAACCUAUAACCCAAUAUGAAUAAACAUAAAUACAAUCAAUGUCUAGAAUGCCGGUGUAACCAGUCUUAAGGGACAAUACGAACGGCGAAUGAGUCAAUCAACGAAUAAAAUUUCGAUGGAAACGAAGGCCUGGAAGAAGGAAAACUUAUCUAAAUGAGGUCCGGCUCAGCUUCAACAAGGAACUGCGACAAGUUUCGCUGGGCCCAUAAGAAAAAAGCAGAGAAUGUCGAAGGCCUUGUUAACAGGAUCUACGCGUAUUCAUUUCUGCCAUAUCAUUUUCAACCUUCGAUUACGUCUCGACAUAGUUACUAUUCCAAUCGUCUUCUCAUCCUAUCUUUUGACACAGAUUAAUAUACACCAAUUCAAUCAAAGUGAUUACCAUUUGGGUGACGAUUUUAAAAAAUACAUAUAACUUAUUGCUCCUUUUUAACUAAAAAGCUUUCCUUUAAAUACAUUGAAAUAUCUUAUUUGUUCUUUGUAAUAUUAUCUUCUCUUUCUUUUCUAGAUUAAUAGUGAAAAUUAAUCAAUUUGUAUUAAUAGUUUUUGAUUUUAAAAAAUAAAAUUUGAAAUAUAUCAAUUUAAAAUAUAUUUUUUAUUAAAAUUCUAAUUUUCCCAAAAAUUGGCUUAACAAAAAAUAAUAAAAAUUUAUUUAAACCUGGCAAAAAGAAUAAUAAAAGAAUAAUAAAAAUUUCACUUUCACAAAUCUAGAAUCUAGAAUUCUUUUUAAAAUUCAAAGAUAAUAUUAGAAACUUCAAUUAUCACACGUUUCGAAAUUGUAACCAGAAACAGCUUUAACCAAAGAGAGCACACAGAGAUAAAGAGUGUAGUAUGAUUGGCCGAGGUUAAUGAAGUAACCCACGAGAGAGAUAACGUCGCAUAUAUUCCAAGGAUGUCGCAAUUAAGCGAAGAGCGUACAAGUGUUUCGAACAACUGGAACGAAUGUCAGCUGCACACCAACCGGACAUGGAAGCGCCUUCUUCAGAGAGAUUUGCAUAUUGAGCAUUGUACGAGACCAUUCGCUGCUGGGAAAGAGACAUCUCGAACAUGGCACUUGAGGUGCGGCACGUGCGGCAUGGGUCGGCGAAAAGGGUUAGGAGAGAGGUUGGCAGAGGGGAGGAGGAGGGUGGCGGUAGGUCAGCCGACGUUGGAUAACAUCGUGAGAGAAAAUAGCUGAUGUGUACGAGAAAAGUUGCCGGAACAAAAGAGGAGAAUGCACUGGCUACGUGACCGGGUUUUAUGAGUGAACCCAGCAACCUGACUCCUUGUCCCAAUGGUGUUCUUUUGUACUCUUUUGUCGAUGUUCCUUUCCCUGACAUUUAUCGAGAGAUAGAAUUCGAUUUUAGAUAGAAACUUCGAUGGAAAAUUUCCUCUCGUGUAAGUAUAAAUUGAAAACUAGAAAUUUCAUAAGUGGUUAAUAAUUUGUGGAUAUUGCAGACGUGUGGAUGGAAUCGUAAAUAUGAAAGUUUAGUUAUAUUUUUUAAAUUUAAAUGAUUUUCCUUUGUUAUUUAUUCGCAAUUUUUAAAUAAUUAAUAUAGGCUAAAAUGUUUCGAAUAUUUUACAUCAAAAAUUCAAAUUUUUUUUAUUCAUACAUAUGCAACUUUCCCUGAUUUAAUCAAAAUAUUGAUUUCAUUAAAAUAUUAUUAACUAAAGAUUUAUAUUCUUAUUAGUAUCUUAAUUAAUUUUUAAAUAGCAAAUAAUCUUAUUUACCAGAUUUAAAUUAUAUUAAGAAUUCAUUUAUCUCAUCAGAAAUUCAUUCGCUACGCAUGGAAAAGUUGUAAGUUAUAUAUACAUUUAACAUUAUCUAUAAUUAAUGCAGAAAUUAUUAAUUCUAACUUAAUAACAAUGUUGUACAUUUUAUCUACAAAUAAUAUUUAAGUGAGAAUAAUGAAAAUGAAUUUUCGUUAAUGAAAAUAUAAUUUUUAAUAUUUUAGUUUUAAUUUCUGAAAAUUUUAAAUCUAGAAAAUUCUUAAUCAAGAAAGAAAUAGAUAAAAUAUUACAAUCUUAUGUAAUAUUUAUAUACUCAUAAAUAUCUACUUAGUAAAUGAUAAUUAAAUUUUUUUACAUGUCUUUUUUCCAUAUUUCUGAUAUUAAAACUGAAACUAUAUUAUACAUGACUUUUAUAAUAUGAUUACUGCGAUAAUCAAUGUAUAUAGUAUAUACAUAAUUUUAAAUUUAAAUUUACAAUAUAGUAGACAUUUUAUUUCCACAAAAUCUACUUAAGAUUCCCACUUAAUUUCCCAGUGAGAUCUUAUGAACUUAAUAAGCGGACAAGCGGAAAUAACCGUGCCAGAAUCGAUUCCAUAUGUAUUUUGAAAUUUUUAUCGAUUCUUUAACUUUUCGACACUUCUCAAUUAAUUAAUUUCAUUUCAUUAACUUAAUUUCAUUCUUUUUUAUUCUUUCACCACCAAAAUAAUAUAAAUUUCUAUGCAAAUAAUUAAUAAUUCACAUAAACAAAUUCAAUUUAUUUACUUAUUUAUUUUUCGAAAAAAUUCGAAAUAAUUCAAUUUCAUUGAAUUAUUUUCAUUUCGAUCAGAAAAAUCAACAUUCGAAAUGGUAUCAUAAGUUUCUAUGCAAAACAACUCUUUCAAUUUUUCAUAAAUAAUACAUAGAGAGCAUCAGUUAAGCACAAUGUCUAUGCGCUCCGCUGACGCGCGUUAAAAAAAGAGAAAAGAAAGAAGCUUUUUUUUGUUUUCCCUGAGAAAUCUGUCGAGAGAAAGUAUCGCUAUCUGACAAAAACAAUUAACAGCGUUAUCGUUGAAAAUUAUUUUUCGCCUACGACGCAAUCAAGUUUCUGAUGCAAUUAUUACUAGAUGCAAUUUAUGAUUCGCGUUGCACCUUCAUUCUUCUUCGAAUCUACAUCGAAAUUAAUCGCUGGAUAAUUAAUUAAACUGUUACGUGAAACGUAUUGAACAUUGUUCCAGAUUUUGUAUACUGUAUUUCAUAAAUAAUGCUUGUGAUUAAUUUUUUUUUUUUUUCAGUAAAAUGGUUUCGCAAAAUAUCGAUAUCGAUUAACAACAACGAAACACUCGACGUUAAAAUGUUAACCUUUCGCAAUCCUCGACCGCUAUUCCAUCUCAAAAAAUAAAAUCCAAGUCACGUUCGACCUCGCAUCAACGAAAGUGUUGCAUGUACGUGUUACGUUUCAACGAUUUCCGUCGCGACCGGAAAAGGAAAACAUUUUUUUUUUUUUUACCUAUCACUGUUUAUCGCGUUAAAUUAAAUUUUCAAAUUAGAUAAUACUUAAUUUUAUAAUUUGAUUUUACUUUUCAUUUAAUUUAUUUCAUAAUUUGUUUUUAAUGUUAUAGGGGAUAAUUUCAUAUGUAGAAAAAAAUAUUAGUUACAUGAAAAAGUUAUUAUUAAGUUAUAUGAUAUUAAAUAUAUCAUGUAUAAAUAUUUUUUCAAUAAUAAUUUCAUAGUAUAAAAAGAUAUAUAAUAUAAUAGUAUAAUAAUUUCAUAGUAAAAAAAAGAAAAUUACUAGGAAAUAUUUCAACUCAAUUUAUUUGUGAUAAGUGAAAUUAAAAUAUCUAUCAUUUGAUAUUUACUAAAUAUUUUACUAUAUCAAAAUAAAAUUUUACAUAUAAAAAAAAAGUUACUAAGAAAUAUUCCAAUUCAUUCAUUAAUAAAAUUAGAAAUCUAUCGUUUAUACUUUUUUCGAGUUUCCAGUAUUUUUACAAAAAUAAUAUUUAUUAAUAUUUACAUAAAUAUUUUUCAAAUAUAAAAAAAACUACAACAACAUAAUUCAUAAUGAAUUGAAAAAUUAAAAAUUUCUUCCACUUUCCAUUCUCCAAUUUAUCAAUCAUCUAUCAAUUGACCUAUCCUGUGGUUAAUUGUUUCCUUUUUUCGAUCAAUUACACAAUGAAUAAAAGAAAAAAACGGAAUUCGAAUAAAACGAUCCUCGGUCGGAGGUUAAGAUAAAGCCAGGCUCAACUGGAAUCCUAUUAAUAAUUAACCACACGAUCGACGAUAAGGUUAAUUACAAAGGAAUAGCGAUAUGCGUAGGCGUAUUGCGCCGAUAUAAUCGAGUGGAAUGAUCCUCGAGCGCCGGCGGAAAUCGCGGCGGGGUGCUGAAUUAACGAGGGCUUGAAUCCGUGGUAAACCACGCGGCAAAGUACCGCUCCGAUUUUUUUUGUUUCGUUAAGAAAACGAUCCUGAUCUGGAUCUUACUGUGAAUGAAAUGAAGGAAAAUUUGUACAGAGAAAAAGAUUUUUUAUAUGUAUAUAUAUUUUUUCUUGGAUUGUUAAUUUGAUCGAGGAAGCACGAUGCAUAUAUUGAGGAAAUAUUGUUAUUGAUUUUCGUUUUUGGUUGAAAGAAUUCGUUCCUUAAAUUUUUGGAUAGUGAAUUACGAGAAAGAUAGUUUUUAUUCAAAAUUAUCUUCGUCAAAAAUUUAAAGUGAAAAGAAAUAAAUUAGAAAAUAUAGAAAAUAUAUUUUUAUAAAAAUUUUGUAUUUCAAUUUUCUAAUAAUGAAUUUUAUAAUCUAUAAAAAUUUCAGCAAAAAAAUUUCUUAAGAAUUUCUUUAAGAAAAAUAUAAAAAAGUUAAUUAAGUGGAUCAAAAAUAGAUAAAAAAAAUUUUUUGUAAAGUUAUAAACAAAGUAUUGAAAAAUAAACUUAAAGAAUGAAUGAUUAAUAAAUAUUUUUCUCUUUCUUUUAAAAACUUAUUAGAUACUUAUUAGUUUUUCGAGAUAGAUUUAUAUAUUUAGAUUAAUAGAAUUUUAACGUAUAUUAACAGAAUUAAUAACAUAUCAUAUAAUAUUAUCAAAAAAUAUAAAUUAAUUAAAAACAAAUUGAAACUAAUUUUUGAUUAAUAAUCUCAAUUCUAAUAAAAUAUCUAUGCUUAGUAGAUCUUUACCAAUAGUAUUAGAAAAAUCGUAACAAUAUAAUAUCCACAUAGAAGUUACUUUAUAAUGCUCUAUUAAUUUCGAAAAAACUGAAAUAUUAAAGUAACGAAUGCAAAAAAAAAUUAAAAAAGACCAAAAUCUGCGUUAGAACCAAUCACAUUUCUCAUUAAUCGUUCGACAGUAUCGAUCAAUUGGUAAUGGACAACACUUUCACGUGACCUUGGAAACUCGAUCCGCUCGAGUGAAACAGUGAGAGAAACGAUCGACCUUACGUGAUGCAGGUGCGACCCGUGUUUAAUUCAAUUUCUUUGCGGACGUUCCGCCACAAUAUUCCAGCUUCAUGAUCAGUCUGUACCGGUCUGGCCAGAAUGGGACAAACCGCAUGCAACACGCGCGGCCACAUUGAUAUUCCACGCUGAUAAAGACAAUGACCUGAUUUACCGAUCGAUAGGAAAAUUGGUGUCAAUAGCGGCGCCGUGCGCUGCAUCGAACACCGAUAGGAAGUCGAGGUUACAACGGUGAAGCGCGUGGGCGAUCAUUCGCGAAUACGUAAAACUAUUCGUUUAAGGUGCAUUGACUGAUAGGUAAGAAUGUUGUUUUAAUGAUUUUUUUCGACGUAUUAAAAUUUAUUUUAAUAUUGGAUCUAGUAUAUUUGGAUACUUAAAUAUAUUACACAAAGAUGAUUGAAAUUAAAAUAAUAUUUCUAUUUUUAGGAAGAAAAUAAAAAGUAGAAUAUUACAAAGUGAAACUUUUGUUGAUUAAAUAAUGCGGUAAAAUUUUCUCUUAUUAAAAGUUUUUCUAUUGAGAAAAUAACGGAUUUAUUUUGAGAUAUAAUUAAAAAGACCUUAAUCUCGGAUAUAAUCUCGUGUAAUUAACUGAUUCGAUCUCAGAUUAAAGAUUUUUGAUAUUAUUUUCUUAUUAUUCUCGUAGAAAGUUAUCAAUUAAAAAAAAUUCACUGGUCAUUAAUUACACUUUUCAUUUAUCCCAUUCGAUUCAAUUAGAACAUCCAACAGUUUGAAAAUCUAUUGAAUUGGUUUAUUUUCAGAUUUAUCGACGCAAUAAUUGAAAAACCGAUCGCAAUCCAUUCUUGUUUUUUUGACGCUUAUUAUGCAAAUUGCGUUAUUACGGAUUUCCGCUGUAGUUCGAUAUAGGUUAGGAAUAAAUACUUAAUUGACAGAUUAAGAACAGUAUCGUUUCUUUUUGUGACAAUCAUUAUUGCAAAUUCGUAAGAUUCGAUAUUUCUUACUUAUUUUAACGAAUUAUUAAAUAUUUGAUAUUAUUCGAUUUAUUAUUGAUUUUUGGAAUUCUGGAAUAUAUAUUUGUAUUCUUAGAAACUUAUACUAAAGAAUAAUAAAAAAGAAAAUUGAAAUUUUAGAUUUUAAAUGAAUUUAGAAUAUUUACAAACUUUUAAUUAUAAUAUAGAUAAUUUUUUCAAAAUCACAACUAUUAUAAUUAUUUCAAUUUUCUUUAAUAGAUUUUCAUCUUAUUCUAUCAAUCUUUCGAAAACUAAUUAAUUAUUCAUAUCAACAAUUAAUAUAGAGAUAUGAUAUAUUCUCAUUUUAUAUAUAACUAAAUUUUCAUUUUAAUAGGAAUUUAGCAGGAAAUAAACAUACAUUAUCGAAAAAGUUCGAAAUAGCAAAAUCCAAUUUAAUUUCUUUGAAAAAAGAAAAUAUUUAUUCAUUAGAAUCUCGUGCAUUUUAACUUAAAAAAAAUAUAUAAAAAUUCAACAUUUCAUCUCCCUCUUUUUAUUUUUCCCUCGAAUACACGUUUACAGAGAAGAGGCGUGAAAUCGACGCGUGGAGACGAACGAGGAAACCUGUCUUUGCUCGCGGAUAAAUUUCACUUUCACGAAAAAGUGCCGUGGAAAGAGGCGGCCUGGGUAAUCGAUCACGAGGUCCCUUGCGCGUCGUCAACAUUUCCCCUGGAUCCUGACACGAAGUCUGAAACCGGUUUCCAAUUCAACGAGAUCGCUUCUAAUCCAUUACUGAUCGUAAUUUUACGUGAUGGAACUAUCGUUUGGUAAUUUUGUGGCUUUGAAUCGUUGUUGCACACAGCUUCUCUCGAAUAGAUUGAAAUAAAAUUAUUCCUGUUUUCAUUUUUAAGGCUUUAUAAGGCGUUGCUUGUUCGUAAGUAUAACUUAACCUUAUUCGAAGUUAUAGCCUAACCUCAUCGAUUUUUCGAAAUAUUUUUUUUUAUAUUGAAAAGCGAGAAAAGUGAGAAAAGAAAGUAUAUUUGAGAAGUGAAUAAUAUUUAUAUAUAUAGACAUUUUUCAAUAUAAAUUAAAUUGAAAUGUCAAUUCCAAGAAUUUCUAGAGAGAAAGAAUUUCUAUAUAAUUCUACUGGUUCAGUGAAAACAUUCAUUUUUUUAUCUUUUAAUAAAAUUUUAGUAAUUUUUAAUGAAAUUUUAAUGAUUUUUAAUAAAAUUUUAUGAUUAAUACAGAACAUAAUAAUAAGUAAUUUCUUUUUAUUGAAAUAUGUCAUUUUUAAAAGGUGAAAUGAUGCUCAAAGUUUCUAAGAAUUUUCAUUAGUUUAAAUAAAUAAUUUUAUAUUUAUAAAUAUAUCUAAAUAUAUAUAUAUAUUAAAUAAUAUAAUAUAAUUUAAAAUUUUAAAAUGUUCAGAAUUUAGUGUAUUUUCUGUUAAUAAAUAAAAUUGAUAAUUUUAAUUUCACUUCCUGAAAAAAUUUCCUAAGAAAAUUUGGUUCUGUUAUGUUUAUACGUACAUACAAAAUUGUAUUAAAAAAUAAAAAUUUUCGAAUUAAAUGAAUUUCUUUACAAUAUGGUAUUCCAAUAUUUUCACGAGCCAUCAUAUAUAUUGAGAGUAUUCUUGAAAAUUUUCGUUCUCAAAUAUUAACUCACAAGAGUAAUUCUUAUUAAUUUUAUCGUCAAAUGGGAUGUAUAUUUUUAGACUUCGUAUUUCCUCAUUCCUGUGUACAAUCGAUACGUUUACGGUUAAUGUUUUACAUGUUUUCUGUACGUACGUUUAUUACUCGUGAUAAGAGUAGAUUGAUGGAAAUUCGUCGAAAUGAUAUGUUGCUUGCACGCUUGAGGUGAUGUUUGUUUAUCGCAUACUUUGAGAAAAUGACGCUCGAAAGUAGGUAAAUGCAUAGUAGAAAUUGCAGUUGAUGAGAAAUGAAAUUAGCUAAGCCAUCUUUGGUCACAUUGUAUUACCUUACUUGAGAUUAUCGUAUCUUCAAGUCUAUCGUGUGAUGAAGAAUGCAAAUGAGAUGUAAUCGAAACAUGAAAGAAGAGAAUUAUGAAGUAUUGUAGAGUAGAGAAAAGCAUGGCAAUAUACAAUAAAGAAAAGUAAAGCAAAAUAAAAUAAAAUGAGAAGUAAUAAAAUAAGUGUGGAGUGAUAAACAAUAAAUGUAAAAUUAUAUAAAUAUAGAAUGAUAUAAAUAUAGAAUAGAAUGUGUUGUUCAUUUUGUGACUACUUUACAAUUUAUUAAAAUUCAGAAAUUGUAAUAAGUAUUUAGAUAUCGUUAAUGAUGGAUAAGUAGAAAAAAAAUGCAGCUUAAAAAAAAACAAUGAAAUAUAUUCUUUUUUAGAUCGUUCAAAUCUAGUGUCUUGUUUUAAAAAUGCACAAUUUUAUUUUUUAUUUUAUUGUUAAUGUCGAAUUGAUCGUUAUAACUUGAUUCUUGUUAUUACGUAAAGAAUUUAUAUUACAUAACAAACCAUAUAUUUAAAAUUCUUUCUUAUUAUUAUAAUUUCAUUACACAAGUUUCAUAAUAAAUCCGAUAAUUUCAAUAUUCAUUUAAUAAAGAACUUUCAACGUAGAACUUUCAAAGUUUUAGAUAUUGAAACUGCUUAUUAAGUUUUUACACAAAUGCAUAGAUACUAAAGUUCGAACGAUCAAUAUUAAUACAUAAAUUUAAUAUUCUUUAAAAUACAUACAAUUUACUUAGAAACUUUAAUUAAUAAAUUGCUUUAAUAAUUUAUUCAAUGCAAAUAAUUGUAAUUGCUAAACAAUCGAAGUUAUACAAAAAUAUAAAAUUACACGAAGAAUGAAUCAACUAUAUUAAUAGCUAUAUUAUUAUAUAAAUAUUAUUCAAGUAUUUUAAUAAGUUAAAUUAAAUAAAUUACUAAAUAAAAUAAAUUACUUAAAGUAACUUUAUUUGAAAUUUUUAAUAAGUUAUUUUUUCAACGAUUUAAUACCCAAUUAUGAUUCUUUAUUUGUAAAAUGAAUUUUCAAUACUGUGAAUAUUUGGUGAAACUACAAUAGGCCUAUACAGCAUUCAUAUGAUUCAUCUCUGUUUUUGAACGAAAUUCAAAUUCAUGAAACAUAUACCAAUCUUACAGAAAAGUACGAUAAACUUCCUCGACAUCGAUCUAUCACUAUAUUACUUCUCUAACUAUUCUCUUCCGCUUGCAACAAUACGAUCUUUUCGUUGGAUUGAUCCAGAAAGAAACGAGUAUUAUUCAGAACAAUCAUCACCGGUUCAAAGACCCAACCUAUUAGACGAAUUUCAAUGCUGAGAAUUCACGUCUUGUGAGAAAGUGGCGUGACAAUCGAUCGAGCACAGAGUGUAGACCACUUUGUUCCAUCGUUUUCGCUCGAUUUAAGUAUGGCUGAAUUCAAUAAGAUCGAAAUGAACAGUCAUUGCAAAUGCUCAACGAACGUUAAUAACCUCGAGAAUAACCGCGGUUUUUCGAAGAAUAAUUGUAAUUGUUACAAACAAUAAUAUAUAUACGUGGUAUAUUUCAUUAUUGAAUGAAAUAGAAAACGAAUUGGAUAUAAGAUGGAAAGUUAGGUUAAAUUGAAUUAAAACAAUAGCAUUAUGAACGAGCAGAAAAUUCGAAAUUAUUUCCUUUGAACAAUUGAAUAAAUCCUCAUGAUAAAUUGAGGAGAAGUGGAUACAUGUAAAGCUAUGAUAUUUAAACUGAUGAUAAUGAACGGAACUCGAGUUGGCGGCGGCCUAGUUGUCACAUUGAUGACAUUGAUGACACCGAAACCGGGUUAACGCAUACGUGUUAGAAUAUUGCACUUUGCUCUAAUAGACUCAUGGUGUGCAAGCUGAACUUCCAAUCUAUAUAUAAUGCAUAGAGAUAUGUAUCUCGCCAUAAUUAAUAAAAAAUAUAUAUUUCUCUUUUACAUCGUUGAUGAUAGUGAAAGAUAUUGAAAAUUAUUUUUAAGUUAUCAGUUUAUUAAUUUUUUAAAAUUUUGUGUGAAACAUUUUAUUUAAAAAAUUUUUUAAAGAAUUCUAUAAUGUGAUAUUAGUUUCUUGAAAAACGAUAUUUAUUAUGAUUAAUUAAAUACAUGUAUGUAUAACUUAAUUUAUUUUAUUUUUAAAUUAAAUGUAAAAUAUUAAUAUAUAUAUAGUAUAUAAUAUAUAGAAAUAUAUUUUGAUACUGAAAAUUUAAUAAGAAAAAUAAAUAAUGCAUGUCAAAAUUAAUCAUAUGAUAAAUUAAAAUUAAAAUUAAAUGAAAUUGUUAUAAAAUAAGUUUAUGAUAAGAAGUAUUGAUAUAAGAAAAAAUUUAUUAAAAAAUUGAAAAUUGCGAACCAUUUUAACGUAAUAUCAUGAUUGUGUAAAUUGAUUAUCGAGAUCUUGUUUGCUAAUAUCAACUUCAAACAAGAAUAAGUUUGUCAUUGUCAAUAGACUUAUUUGUCAAGCUUUAUUUUGCUUCAAAUAGUGUUAUUAAUAGCUUAACGAUAUUGUCAAGAACUUCGUAAUUAUUCCUAUAUAUACUCUUAUAUUCUAUCGAUAAUCGUUAUAUUUCUAAAUUUACGACGAUUAUUUUACUGGAAUACACUUUGAAAACAUAAAAUUAGAAAAUUUCUCUAAUAAUUUCUAAUUUUAAUUCUAAUAUCUAAUGUUAGAAUAUCCAGGUACAUUAUAUAAGUAUAUUAUAUAUUAAUUAAUAUAUUAUAAUCAAAUUACAAUUUUUCAUGAAUUAUUUAUUUAUAAUAUGAUUUGAUUAUUGUUGUUAAAUGAUAAAAAAUUUUAUUUUCUAUUUAAAAAAAAGAUCCAAGUUUACAUUUUUAUUUCACACAUAUAUAUUUCACAAUAAUCCAAAAUUUAUUUAUUUCUUAUUUUUUAUCGAAAUCCAAACGUGACUUAUAUAUGAAAUAGAAUAUUCUUUUCGAUAUAUUACUUACAUAUAUAUAUUUUUUUUCUUGUCAAUAUAUUUCACAUAAAUAGCAAUACAAAAACUUUUAAAAGUCUAUUCCUUUCUCAUAUCACAAAAUCCUCAAUUAUUCCUUUACUUUACCGUAAACUUGAAUUAGCAUAUGAAAAUACAAUGACUCGAGAAAGAAGAUAAAAGAGAAAAGAAUAAAAACUUACUGCACCUGGACAGAACAAUAUCCUAUUACGAUUCAGAUCUCUUUCUUCUCCGUCUAUGUUUUAACACUGUCGGUAACCACGGUUCUCCUAAUUAUUCGCAGAGCGUGCUUGUGUCAAAAAGAGUCGUUAAAAUUGUGCAUGUCAGCGGCAAACCUUCCACCAUAGAAAAAAGGAAACCGUUGAAUUGCACGUUCGUCUCGCAGGAUCACGCGCGCGUUACCGGCUGGAUACGCGACACAGACUGGAAGUUCCAGUCUGAAAUCUCUAUAUACCCUCUAAAUAUUCAGAAGACGCUGCUUCUGGAAUGUUGCUCUCGUUAUCAGUGAAAGUUGAAAUAUAUAAAUAAGUAUGCGAACAGAGUACCGGUGUCGAACUGUUCGUGGAAUGUCAUGUGAUCGACGAAUAGGUGCUUUAUAAAUAUAGCGUAUAAUCUAGAAUAUUUUUAGAUAUUUUUCUAGAUAUAAUUAAUUUUCUAAUUUUUAUAUGAUUGAAAGUGUAAUAAUUUUAAAUAAAUUCUUAGAGAUUGUGUUAUAUUUAGUUUUAAGUAAACUUUUGAAGAAUUCCAAUAAAAAAUAUUUGUAAUGUUUUAUGAUAAAUUAUGAUUUUUGAAAAUUUGUGUAUAUACAAUAAUUUAAAGUGUUUAGAUAUAAUGAAAUAUUUUUAACAUAUACGUAUGUUAUAAGAUGUUUUUGAUAAAUUAUAAUUUUUAAUUUCAGCGAUUGAAUGUUUAGGAAUUUAUAAUGAAAUAUUUUCGAUACUGCAGAAAUUAUUUACUUUAUUAUAAUUAAAUAAUUAUUGUUUCAAUAAAUAUCACGAUGCAUAUAAUUGCAAAAGUAAUGUUAAUUCCUUUAAUUUUUCAAAUAAAUCUUUACCUAUCUCUAUAUGCAUGAUUCAUAAAAAUAUUUCAUUAUCUUAUCAACAUCACAUUUUUCGAAAUAGAAAAUCUAAUCGUCAGAUUGCAAUAAUAAAAAAAUAAAAAAUAAAUUGGCAAUA